rnacentral:lncRNA from 10 species
GAUUACCUCUUUGAAGCUCUGGUGUCAGGAUCCACUGCACAUGUGCUGAGGAAAGUGUUCUUUAUCUGCAAAACUACAAAUUACCAGGAUGAGCCUGCUUCACUCUGCUCUUACAGCUCUUUUGUGGCCUCUGUUCCUGGGAAACAAAAGGUGUAGAGGAAAAGACUUGGUCCAUAAUGGACACUCAAUAAGUGUCCUAGCCAACUACAUAGUGAAUGAAUGAAUGAAUGCAAAACGCAAACACAGGAAGAGAAACACAUGGCAAACAGAAGAUAAGUAUUCAGACACUGCUAAUGAAACCAUCCAUCAAGGAAAGCCAUCUGUUCAGUGGUAGUAUCUCUGAUAGAAAAG